AAUCAACGCUGGCGGCGUGCCUCAGACAUGCAAGUCGAACGCGAAAGUUCCCUUCGGGGAGCAAGUAGAGUGGCGCACGGGUGAGUAACACGUAGGUAAUUUGCCUUCGGGUGGGGAAUAACAGUCGGAAGCGACUGCUAAUACCGCAUAAUGCAGCGGCUCGACAUCGAGACAGUUGUUAAAGCGGGGGAGUCCUUCGGGACCUCGCGCCUGAAGAGAAGCCUGCGGCAGAUUAGCUAGUUGGUGAGGUAAUGG
rnacentral:rRNA from 1 species